UGGAGUGAAUCAUGUGAAAACAAGUCUUUGGCUGAAAACUGAAAACAGGAAUUCUAGACCAUUGGUUUUAAUCUAACGGAUUAAAUUACAUCUGCGUUUGGGUUUUGUUUUCUAAUUUAUGACCAUCCAUUAUCUCUCUCCUCUAUUUUUCUCUCUCCUCCAUCUCACGUUCUCCAUAUCCUCUAUUCUUUCUCCUUCCCAAUUCAAAAUUAAUGUUGAACAUCAUCAAAUUAUAGAGGAAUUUGGUUCAAUCUUCAUCAAUUUCGUCAUUAGCUUAUAAAAAAGGACUGUAUCUUUCAUAUUGAUGGUCAGUACUUGGAGGUAGCAUUGACUACUAAGAAAAUGUAUAGAUGCGGUCUGUCUUUGCAGGACAAUGUAUUUGUCUAUGUGGUUGCAUCUACUCGUAUAAAGUACCAGUCAGCAUGCCUUAUCGAAUAGGCGAAUGUAUGUUUCGGUUUUAAUCAAGCCUCUACGUUUUUGGCAUGUUGAAAGCCUAUAAGCUCAAUUGGUCGAGCACCGUGUAAUCAUGGGAUGUAGGUUCGAAUCCUACAUAGACUUUUUCUUAAUACCCUUUAUUUUUAUAUUUCGUGACUUUUGAUCUCUCUCAUGUAUUACUUAAUUGAAUUAAUAGGCCGAGUCAAAUUGAAAAAGUUACCUUAUUUUUAUGUA